AGCCCCAUGUUGGGCUUCACGCUAGGUGUGGAGCCUACUUUAAAAAAUAUUUUUCCUUUGCCAAAAGCUCUUCAAAAUUUUAUACUACUUCAAAGUUAUUAAUAUGCACUAUUAAAAUAAUGAAUUCUAGUCAGAUGAAUACAAAUACAAAAUUUUGGAAAAGCAUGGGGGGCAUUUAUGUAGUUGUGUUUUUCCCCUUUCCACCACCAUAUUCCUUUCUCUAGUAGUUCCUUAUAACAAGAAUUUAAAUGGUCUUUUUCUAAUUUUCAGAAAAUAAUUGGGUAAAAAGGUGUUGCCCUCAAUUUUAACUUUUCUUCUUUAACCUUUGAUACCCACUGCCACUUUCUCCUAGAUGACAAUGGAAAAAAAAACAAUUAUCAACCGAAAAUACUCAAAAUAGCUGAACAGUACUAAUUUUAUGGACACAUGAUUAUGUUUGAUUUUGUACCACAAAUAUAUUUUCUGCAAGUAACACUGCUCUUGACCACAGAACAGCUUCAACAUGAAUGUUCUAACACAAGCACAUUUGCUUGAGAUUUAAUAACAACAAAGAAUUCUACAUCUCCUUGUCAAAAACAUUCCUGUGAUAGAAGCAAGAUGAAGAGCGCAAAAUGAUUCUCUUAACAAUAAUUUUGAAGCCAAAAUAAACAUUAGUAGAGCUGAUCCCUGAACAACAUAGGUUUGAACUGGUGGUCUACUUAUACAUGGAUUUUGGCCCAAAUGCAGAAAACUUCCUUCUAUGCAACAUCUUAGGGAAGGCGGAGCACCCCUCCAUCUCUCUAGGAUCUGCUUUCUAAGCUGUCCACUUGGCUUCCUACAUGGUUCUAAGGCAGCUUCCGCCGACAGGACACGCUGGCAAGAGGUGAGCCGCUGAUCCCUGGGGUAUUAGCUCACCAACCUGAAGAACAUUCAGGCUGGUGGACAGCACCCCUCC